AUUCUUCCUAUAAUAUGUUCAUAGAGAACAAUAACAAUAUACUAUUUAAUCUCGAAUUUACAUCAUGAUAAAAACAUAAAAUAUUGCAUUCAUAUUUGCAACUUUUAUAACACAUUUGAUUAAAAGUAACAGAUUCAAGUGCUUGUUACUUUGCCUCUUAAAUAGGUCUUGGGGAAAAGAAUUCAUUAGAAAUCUCACUGGAAAGAAACUGUUGAUAUACGCUGCUGACUUCUGCCACCCAUGCAAUUGCUUAUACAACAUGGCAAUAAAAACAAAUAAGAGAACAAAAUACAAAAUCUGACAGUCUUUUAGGAAACUUGGAGCUAGAAUGUAACAUACAAUUGUCAUAAUAACUUUUCACGGUUUACAGAAUAACAGUUUCCAAUGUAGUUUCCCCGGUUUAUUUUUCUUGAUCCAAACUACAGGCAUAACAGUAUUAUUUUCCUAAUGAUAUUUUUACAUUUUUAAAUGAAGACAGUGUGGUUAAAUACCAUUGAAUAGUCUUCUCAAGACUGCUGUACUUAUGAUGCCAACCAUUAUAAGGGAAAGCUAGUUAUGAUUUUAAUUACAUAUAGCCUAUAUUUUAAUAAAGUCAACAUGUCUGGCAAAACAUAUUUAAAAGAAAAUAUGGGAUGAAUGUCUGCUCUUCGGCUGCUCGGGGGCCAGUGCCCUAUGCCGCGUUCUCUUGUGAUCCCUGACCUAACCCGUCUCUUCCUUUUCCCCAACCUCAGGUGGAGCCGCUACCAAAAUGCAGAUUUUCAUGAAAACCCUUACGGGAAGACCAUCACCCUCGAUGUUGAACCCUCGGAUACGAUAGAAAAUGUAAAGGCCGAGAUCCAGGAUAAGGAAGGAAUUCCUCCUGCUCAGCAAAGAGGGAUCUUUGCUGGCAAGCAACUGGAAGAUGCAUGGACUUUGUCUGACUACAAUAUUCAAAAGGAGUCUACUCUUCAUCUUGUGUUGAGACUUCGUGGUGGUUCUAAGAAAAGGAAGAAGAAAUCUUACACCACUCCCAAGAAGAAUAAGCACAAGAGAAAGAAGGUUAAGCUGGCUGUCCUGAAAUAUUAUCAGGUGGAAGAGAAUGGCAAAAUUAGUCGCCUUCAUCAAGAGUGCCCGUCUGAUGAAUGUGGUGCUGGGGUGUUUGUGGCAAGCCACUUUGACAGACAUUAUUGUGGCAAACGUCUGACUUAUUGCUUCAACAAGCCAGAAGACAAGUAACUGUAUGAGUUAACAAAAGACAUGAACUAAAAAAAAAAAAAAAAAA